AGCAUUUGUCUCUUGAGCUGCACAAGGAAGCACUGGAAGGCUGACAAAGGAUCGUGCUGCUGCAGGGCAGGGGCCAGAGCGCCGCAGAGAUGCGUCGCUCCAGAUUGCUUCAAGGGGCACCGGAUCACGUUUUGGAGCACAAUGUUUAGGGGAACUUCAGGAGCUCAGAGAAUGUUGCUGCCAUCAAUAGACUGGGGACCAGGAAGAAACGCAACUGCCAUGAACUUCCUCCUUCUCCCCACUUGAAAAGUCAAGAACUUUCCAUGCCUGCUGUGAUUCUCAGCCUCACCAUGACAAACGGGGAGAGCGACUGAUGAAAUGAUGCAUGUCCUAGCUUACUCUACGGCUGACUGCUCCGCUUCCCUCGCGUUUCCCGCUUGCACCGACUGCUGUAUUGCAGCCAUAUAGAUUAUAUGACAAGUCAAGUUUGGGUUGAGUGGAGUGCUGCCAUCUCUUGGUUAUUUUGGGCAGAUCGACUCACAUAUUUUUUCAUUUUCCUGCCACUCAAGAAUGGUAUGAAGUAACACAGAAAAACAACUAUUCUGGAUGAAAAAGUUUAGGCACUUAGGAAGUGUAAUUGUGGUUUUCAUAGAUCCAAGCAUGUAGAACAGAGUACAUUUGCUGGUGCAUUGGAUCUCUGUGUAACUUCUGUUAAGCGUUUUUAACAAACCUAUAAACCAUGAACAGUUGGAACAGUUUAUAUAUGAUGUGAGCACCAAAAAAAAAAA